UACGAAGGGGGCUAGCGUUGCUCGGAAUCACUGGGCGUAAAGCGCACGUAGGCGGCUUACUAAGUCAGGGGUGAAAUCCUGGAGCUCAACUCCAGAACUGCCUUUGAUACUGGUGAGCUUGAGUCCGGAAGAGGUGAGUGGAACUGCGAGUGUAGAGGUGAAAUUCGUAGAUAUUCGCAAGAACACCAGUGGCGAAGGCGGCUCACUGGUCCGGUACUGACGCUGAGGUGCGAAAGCGUGGGGAGCAAACAGGGAUUAAGAAACC
rnacentral:rRNA from 1 species